CCUACGGGAGGCAGCAGUGAGGAAUAUUGGACAAUGGGCGCAAGCCUGAUCCAGCCAUGCCGCGUGCAGGAAGAAGCAUCUAUGGUGUGUAAACUGCUUUUGUACAGGAAGAAACACUCCCUCGUGAGGGAGCUUGACGGUACUGUAAGAAUAAGGACCGGCUAACUCCGUGCCAGCAGCCGCGGUAAUACGGAGGGUCCGAGCGUUAUCCGGAAUCAUUGGGUUUAAAGGGUCCGUAGGCGGUUUAAUAAGUCAGUGGUGAAAUCUGGUCGCUCAACGAUCAAACGGCCAUUGAUACUGUUAGACUUGAAUUAUAAGGAAGUAACUAGAAUAUGUAGUGUAGCGGUGAAAUGCUUAGAUAUUACAUGGAAUACCAAUUGCGAAGGCAGGUUACUACUUAUGGAUUGACGCUGAUGGACGAAAGCGUGGGGAGCGAACAGGAUUAGAUACCCUGGUAGUCCACGCCGUAAACGAUGGAUACUAGCUGUUCGGAGCAAUCUGAGUGGCUAAGCGAAAGUGAUAAGUAUCCCACCUGGGGAGUACGUUCGCAAGAAUGAAACUCAAAGGAAUUGACGGNGNGAGAGNGACGAGACGACGACGAGGAGGAGG
rnacentral:rRNA from 1 species